rnacentral:rRNA from 1 species
UACAGAGGGGGCAAGCGUUGUUCGGAAUUACUGGGCGUAAAGGGCGCGUAGGCGGCCUUCUAAGUCGAACGUGAAAUCCCCGGGCUCAACCCGGGAACUGCGUCCGAUACUGGAAGGCUUGAAUCCGGGAGAGGGAUGUGGAAUUCCAGGUGUAGCGGUGAAAUGCGUAGAUAUCAGGAGGAACACCUGUGGUGUAGACGGCUUACUGGACCAUGACUGACGCUGAGGCACGAAAGCGUGGGGAGCAAACAGG